rnacentral:lncRNA from 1 species
GCAGCAGAAAGGACAUGACUCCGGGCACAGGAAGUUGGAGCUUGAGACUCAGCCCUAUCAUUCAUGAUUUCUGUGUCUGGACAAGACACUGAACUUGAUUGAUUUUCAAGGGGCUUGGGGGAAGGUUACUAUUUUUAAGGAAGUUUAUUUAUUUCUAUUCGUGCAUGUGCGUAUGCACUCAUACGCACAUGUCCAGAGUGCAUGCAUGUGAGUGUGUGGAUAUGGGCUUGCUGACUUGAGACAGGCUCUCUCACUGAACCAGAAUCUCACUUAAUUUUGAGGUGUCGACCAAGCCUACCAAGAUCUCUUUUGUAUUUUUGUUGUUGUUAUGUGGGUGCAGAUACACAUGUAUUCCGGAGCACGUGUGGAUAUCUGCAUGGAAGACAGCUUUCGAGAGUCUGUUCUCUCUCCCGGGAGUCAAAUCCAGAAAAUGAGGCACAGCUCUAAGGAAGCCUGCCAGAAAUGUGAUCGCUCUGAAACGCACCGUGAUCCAGAUUCGCCUCAACAGCCACCUCCAGACUCGAACUAGAAUCUUUUUCCUUGAUCUAGAGUCUAACCCCUACCUUCUUUUUCUCCCUUUUCCUCUUUAAGGGUCAUUAUGUAAAGCCAGAGUUUGUAAAUACUCAUUUGUGUAAUAAAUAAAAUGUUCAUAGAUGGUUAUGCCCCAC